UCCGGUUUAUCACCGGCGGUCCCUGUCGAGUCCCCAUCAGCCUUUCGGCCAUGCUGGCAACAACAGGCAAGGGUUGCGCUCGUUGCGGGACUUAACCCGACAUCUCACGACACGAGCUGACGACAGCCAUGCAGCACCUGUGCAAGGGCUCCCCGAAGGGCACCCCCUUGUUUCCAAGGGGUUCCCAAGCAUGUCAAAUCUAGGAUAAGGUUCUUCGCGUAGCCUCGAAUUAAGCCACAUCCUCCACCGCUUGUGUGAGCCCCCGUCAAUUCCUUUGAGUUUCGGCCUUGCGACCAUACUCCCCAGGCGGAGCACUUAACGCUUUCGCUACGGCCGGGAGGAUGUGGAAGUCCCCCCAACCCAGUGCUCAUCGUUUACGGCUAGGACUAC
rnacentral:misc_RNA from 1 species